AGGGUUAUAGUUAAUUAUAACAUUUGGGUUGCAUUCAAAAAGUAUUGAGACUUCAAUUAACCUUA
rnacentral:tRNA from 1 species